AUUGAACGCUGGCGGCAUGCUUUACACAUGCAAGUCGAACGGUAACAGGCCGCUAGUUGCUGACGAUUGGCGAACGGGUGAGUAAUUCAUCGGAACGUGCCCAGUCGUUGGGGUUAACUACUCUAAAGAGUAGCUAAUACCGCAUACGAUCUGUGGAUGAAAUCGGGGGACCGUAAGGCCUCGUGCGAGUGGAUCGGCCGAUGUCAGAGUAGGUAGUUGGUGGGGUAAAGGCUGACCAAGCCAACGAUCUGUAGCUGGUCUGAGAGGACGACCAGCCACACUGGGACUGAGACACGGCCCAGACUCCUACGGGAGGCAGCAGUGGGGAAUUUUGGACAAUGGGCGCAAGCCUGAUCCAGCAAUGCCGCGUGCAGGAAGAAGGCCUUCGGGUUGUAAACUGCUUUUGUACGGAACGAAACGGCUCUGGUUAAUACCCGGGGCUAAUGACGGUACCGUAAGAAUAAGCACCGGCUAACUACGUG
rnacentral:rRNA from 1 species